GAAAAAAUGACGGACACGAAGAGCAACAAAGCUGUAUUACAACGAGCAAGAUCAAAACGCAUUCUAGCGUUGAUUCCUGCAGGAAAUGCACGAUCGGAUGACAGUGACACAACAGACAAUGAGGAAGAUAACACAUCUUUGCCAGUUUAUGGAAUACAACAUGAUUCUUAUAGUAGUUCCUCAACACCUUCACUGGAUUCGGAUAAAAUGUAAUGUGAGAUUAUGUCUAACUACACAACGGAACUGUUUUUACAAUUUUCAUGUAAAAAAAUAAAUUUUCUUGCCAA